AAGUCGUAACAAGGUUUCCGUAGGUGAACCUGCGGAAGGAUCAUUGAGAAUUUAAAAGUGUAGGUCUUCUUGGUUGGAGGUGUUUCGGCACUGAAGGCUGGGGGGGGGGCUUGCAUUUUGUUUUGUGAACUGUUUUUUGGGUUUUUGAUUUUUUGGGUACUUUGUAUUUUUUUUAAAAAAGUUUCAUUUAUGACAACUUUCAGCAAUGGAUCUCUAGGCUCUU
rnacentral:misc_RNA from 1 species